rnacentral:rRNA from 1 species
CCCUUAGAUGUUCUGGGCCGCACGCGCGCUACACUGAUGCAUUCAACGAGCCUGUCCUUGACCGACAGGUCCGGGUAAUCUUUGAAUCUGCAUCGUGACGGGGAUAGAUUAUUGCAAUUAUUAAUCUUCAACGAGGAAUGCCUAGUAGGCGCAAGUCAUCAGCUUGCGUCGAUUACGUCCCUGCCCUUUGUACACACCGCCCGUCGCUCCUACCGAUUGAGCAUCCCGGUGAAGACUCAAGAGAUGUGCGUGCGGCUGGUUUCCAGCUGCGCCGCGCGUCGAAUUUGUCUAAACCUUGAUGCUUAGAGGAAGGAGAAGUCGUAACA